UACGCAGGGGGCUAGCGUUGUUCGGAAUUACUGGGCGUAAAGGGCGCGUAGGCGGCGUGUCAAGUCAGGCGUGAAAGCCCCGGGCUCAACCUGGGAACCGCGCUUGAGACUGGCAUGCUCGAGUUCGGGAGAGGAUGGUGGAAUUCCCAGUGUAGAGGUGAAAUUCGUAGAUAUUGGGAAGAACACCGAUGGCGAAGGCGGCUAUCUGGACCGACAUUGACGCUGAGGCGCGAAAGCGUGGGGAGCAAACAGG
rnacentral:rRNA from 1 species